GGGGUCUUGGAAACACUGUUAUAAAUAAUAAUGGUUUAAUUUAAUAAUUUACAACUAGUGUUAGCGCGGGGCCUAUGAAAGUACGAGGCCCACUGCGGCCGCAUAGGUUGCAGUGCCCUAACACCGGCCCUGCUAUAAAUAAACUCUUUAAACUCUUACAUAUACAUAAAAAUUAAACUUCUUUUUAUUCCGGAUCAAAAUAUGUUUACAUCCGAGACUUGCGAAGCAGAAAUGAUUCCACUUUGCUUUGUCUACGUAAUCUAUUUCUGUGCGUAUGCAAAGAGGAUAUUAAAAAAGUACUAGCGGCAAAAGUGCUGACAUAAAAAAGGCCUUUAAAACGUUAUAACGAAACAUAAGACGCAUAUACUUGAUCCGUUGUAAUCAGGAUAUAGUUGUUUUUUUUUCUUUUUAGGACUGCCGACUUAAAUUAACCCAUGCUUCCCUGAUUUGGCAUGUAUUGCGCAAGGAGCAUACUAUGAAACGAAGUGUGCUUUUUGUCAGUGACCUCAUUACUUUGGAAUUACAGCAGUUUGAAAUGGGCUCAUUCGUUGUUUUCUUGAAUGACCCUAUCUUCAUUAACAUCUAGAGAGCAGAUAACAUUAGCAAUGUAUAGAAAACAGCAUUUAGAUUAUGAGUCGCCUCUUCAAGUAGGUUUAGUUUUAAUAGCCUACUAAGUUAAUAGACGCUAAAUAUAUAGACAUCGCUUCAAGAAAUUAUGAAUUAGACUCUAAAUAAAUCAUGGAACUCUACUAUGUUCGACUGACCUAACAAAUGUGAUUGAAUGAUCAUCUAAUUUUACUGAUUGUUGAUGUACGAAUAAGAGGGUUGGUAAAAAGCCAAUAUUUCUUAUAAUCAUUGAAGACGCCUGUUCUUUAGAUGUCACUUUGGACAUUUUGAAGUCAAAACCAGUAAUUACAGUCCUACAAACAGACCUGCAUUUGUUUACAAGUAAAAAAAAAGAGAGUGAGAGAGUAAAAGACAGCAAGGACGGAAAAAAAGAGGGGUAUGGAAAGAAAGACUUUCUAAACGCUAAAGAAAAAAAAAUGAUGUUUAAAUGUGCACAACUUUUAGUGUUUGUUUACAUCGUGAAGUCUGUGGCCAUGUAUUGGACAGUCUAUAUAUAUAUAUAAUUUAUUUACAAGAUGUGAAGAGAAACCGAGAAACUGUGCCUACGAUUAAAUCUAACGUUUACUUACAUAUAA